GACGAACGCUGGCGGCGUGCUUAACACAUGCAAGUCGAACGGGCUCUGUCUGGCUGUGUGCUGGGUGGGGUUAGUGGCGAACGGGUGAGUAAUACGUGAGUAACCUGCCCUCUUCUUUGGGAUAAGCCUUGGAAACGGGGUCUAAUACUGGAUAUUCCUGUCUGGUCGCAUGGCUGGGUGGGGAAAGUUUUUUUCGGUGGGGGAUGGGCUCGCGGCCUAUCAGCUUGUUGGUGGGGUGAUGGCCUACCAAGGCGUCGACGGGUAGCCGGCCUGAGAGGGUGACCGGCCACACUGGGACUGAGAUACGGCCCAGACUCCGACGGGAGGCAGCAGUGGGGGAUAUUGCACAAUGGGCGCAAGCCUGAUGCAGCGACGCCGCGUGGGGGAUGACGGCUUUCGGGUUGUAAACCUCUCUCGUCGGGGGACAAGGCUCUGCUUGGUGGUGGGGUUGAGGGUACCCGGUGAAGAAGCGCCGGCUAACUACGUG
rnacentral:rRNA from 1 species